rnacentral:piRNA from 1 species
UCCUGGAUGAUAUCCUGAGGGGCCUUAAGAG